GCUCAGAUUGAACGCUGGCGGCAGGCCUAACACAUGCAAGUCGAGCGGUAGCACAGAGAGCUUGCUCUCGGGUGACGAGCGGCGGACGGGUGAGUAAUGUCUGGGAAACUGCCUGAUGGAGGGGGAUAACUACUGGAAACGGUAGCUAAUACCGCAUAAUGUCGCAAGACCAAAGUGGGGGACCUUUGGGCCUCAUGCCAUCAGAUGUGCCCAGAUGGGAUUAGCUAGUAGGUGGGGUAACGGCUCACCUAGGCGACGAUCCCUAGCUGGUCUGAGAGGAUGACCAGCCACACUGGAACUGAGACACGGUCCAGACUCCUACGGGAGGCAGCAGUGGGGAAUAUUGCACAAUGGGCGCAAGCCUGAUGCAGCCAUGCCGCGUGUGUGAAGAAGGCCUUCGGGUUGUAAAGCACUUUCAGCGGGGAGGAAGGCGUUAAGGUUAAUAACCUUGGCGAUUGACGUUACCCGCAGAAGAAGCACCGGCUAACUCCGUGCCAGCAGCCGCGGUAAUACGGAGGGUGCAAGCGUUAAUCGGAAUUACUGGGCGUAAAGCGCACGCAGGCGGUCUGUCAAGUCGGAUGUGAAAUCCCCGGGCUCAACCUGGGAACUGCAUUCGAAACUGGCAGGCUAGAGUCUUGUAGAGGGGGGUAGAAUUCCAGGUGUAGCGGUGAAAUGCGUAGAGAUCUGGAGGAAUACCGGUGGCGAAGGCGGCCCCCUGGACAAAGACUGACGCUCAGGUGCGAAAGCGUGGGGAGCAAACAGGAUUAGAUACCCUGGUAGUCCACGCCGUAAACGAUGUCGAUUGGAGGUUGUGCCCUUGAGGCGUGGCUUCCGGAGCUAACGCGUUAAAUCGACCGCCUGGGGAGUACGGCCGCAAGGUUAAAACUCAAAUGAAUUGACGGGGGCCCGCACAAGCGGUGGAGCAUGUGGUUUAAUUCGAUGCAACGCGAAGAACCUUACCUGGUCUUGACAUCCACAGAACUUUCCAGAGAUGGAUUGGUGCCUUCGGGAACUGUGAGACAGGUGCUGCAUGGCUGUCGUCAGCUCGUGUUGUGAAAUGUUGGGUUAAGUCCCGCAACGAGCGCAACCCUUAUCCUUUGUUGCCAGCGGUUAGGCCGGGAACUCAAAGGAGACUGCCAGUGAUAAACUGGAGGAAGGUGGGGAUGACGUCAAGUCAUCAUGGCCCUUACGACCAGGGCUACACACGUGCUACAAUGGCAUAUACAAAGAGAAGCGACCUCGCGAGAGCAAGCGGACCUCAUAAAGUAUGUCGUAGUCCGGAUUGGAGUCUGCAACUCGACUCCAUGAAGUCGGAAUCGCUAGUAAUCGUAGAUCAGAAUGCUACGGUGAAUACGUUCCCGGGCCUUGUACACACCGCCCGUCACACCAUGGGAGUGGGUUGCAAAAGAAGUAGGUAGCUUAACCUUCGGGAGGGCGCUUACCACUUUGUGAUUCAUGACUGGGGUGAAGUCGUAACAAGGU
rnacentral:rRNA from 1 species